rnacentral:rRNA from 1 species
UACGGAGGGGGCUAGCGUUGUUCGGAAUUACUGGGCGUAAAGCGUGCGUAGGUGGUUUGUUAAGUCUGUUGUGAAAGCCCCGGGCUCAACCUGGGAAUGGCAAUGGAUACUGGCAGGCUAGAGUGCGGUAGAGGGUAGUGGAAUUCCCGGUGUAGCGGUGAAAUGCGUAGAGAUCGGGAGGAACACCAGUGGCGAAGGCGGCUACCUGGACCAGCACUGACACUGAGGCACGAAAGCGUGGGGAGCAAACAGG